AGCAUAUCAAUAAGCGGAGGAAAAGAAACCAACAGGGAUUGCCCUAGUAACGGCGAGUGAAGCGGCAACAGCUCAAAUUUGAAAUCUGGCUCCUUUGGGGCCCGAGUUGUAAUUUGUAGAGGGUGCUUUGGCGUUGGCCAUGGUCUAAGUUCCUUGGAACAGGACGUCACAGAGGGUGAGAAUCCCGUACGUGGCCGUUGGCCUUCGCCAUGUAAAGCCCCUUCGACGAGUCGAGUUGUUUGGGAAUGCAGCUCUAAAUGGGAGGUAAAUUUCUUCUAAAGCUAAAUAUUGGCCAGAGACCGAUAGCGCACAAGUAGAGUGAUCGAAAGAUGAAAAGCACUUUGGAAAGAGAGUCAAAAAGCACGUGAAAUUGUUGAAAGGGAAGCGCUUGCAGCCAGACUUGCUCGUAGUCGCUCAUCUAGGCUUCUGCCUGGUGCACUCUUCUGCGGGCAGGCCAGCAUCAGUUCAGGCGGUCGGAUAAAGGUCUUGGGAAUGUGGCUCUCUUCGGGGAGUGUUAUAGCCCAGGGCGCAAUGCGACCAGCCUGGACUGAGGUCCGCGCAUCUGCUAGGAUGCUGGCGUAAUGGCUGUAAGCGGCCCGUCUUGAAACACGGACCAAGGAGUCUAACAUCUAUGCGAGUGUUUGGGUGUCAAGCCCGAGCGCGCAAUGAAAGUGAACGGAGGUGGGAACCCGCAAGGGUGCACCAUCGACCGAUCCUGAUGUCUUCGGAUGGAUUUGAGUAAGAGCAUAGCUGUUGGGACCCGAAAGAUGGUGAACUAUGCCUGAAUAGGGUGAAGCCAGAGGAAACUCUGGUGGAGGCUCGCAGCGGUUCUGACGUGCAAAUCGAUCGUCAAAUUUGGGCAUAGGGGCGAAAGACUAAUCGAACUAUCUAGUAGCUGGUUCCUGCCGA
rnacentral:rRNA from 1 species